UACGUAGGAUGCAAGCGUUGUUCGGAAUUACUGGGCGUAAAGAGUACGUAGGCGGUUUGAUAAGUCUGAUAUUAAAGACUGAGGCUUAACCUCCGGACUGUAUCGGAAACUGUCAGACUAGAGGACAAUAGAGGAAGUCGGAAUUCUCAGUGUAGCGGUGAAAUGCGUAGAGAUGGGGAAGAACACCAGUGGCGAAGGCGGACUUCUGGGUUGUUACUGACGCUGAGGUACGAAAGCGUGGGGAGCAAACGGG
rnacentral:rRNA from 1 species